UCUGACUGUUAGCUUGUUAGCUUCCGUUAGCCGGCUGAACUGGACACAGUCCGACUGCAGGUGGUUCAGGAGGUCCACAAGCUAACCCGGGAUCUUCGCUGCUCUUCACCAGGUGCCACAGACGCAGACCCUCCUCCUCCUCGCCCUCCAGCAUCGGUGUUUCUUUAGCAACCACACACAGACCGUCAGUCACCACGACCACCAAUAAGAAAACAGACUGUCGAUCACACUGAAGACAGGUGUUGGUUCUACGUGGUUCCCUUUGUGUUGAUGUUCUAAAUGUUUUGGAGGGUCUAGAUGUUGUGUUUGUGUGCAACAUGCUCUGUGUUUCUCCUUGUGCUGGUCUAAGGUUCUAGAUGUUGGUUUGUGUUGGUUCUCAAUUUAAAUGUUCUUGGUGAUCCUCUCUGUCUUGGUUGUGGGUUCUACAUGUGCAAGAUCCUUCUGUUGUGUUGGGUCUGGGUUCUGCGUAUUGUUGAUAUCCUAAAUGUUCUAGAUGGUCUGGACUUUGUGUUUGUUCUGGGUUUUUAAAUGUUCUAAAGAUUUGUGUGUGUUCA